GUUGAAUGAAAGUUUCAACUUUCAAAUGCAAGUACUAUGACAAGUUAAACAGUUGGAGUUGAAAGUGGAACCCUCUUAUAUCUUCUUCCCAAUCAGUCUGCAGGAUAUCACAAGAUUCUUUAGCGCCCCAGAAACAGAGACUCAGAAAGCAUGGCAAGAUGCUCUGCUAGAAAGUAUACUGCACAAGUCAUUAACCUUUCAUUUCUGGAACCACUUGACAUAUGCUCUCAUUCCAGAACCCAAUAGCCUCGUGAAUAGGCUUAUGAAUCGUGCUUGUCUCAGAUGCUCAGAAUUACUGUAAAAUGCUGGCUUACACCAAUCCUGUUUGGAGCUUCCCUACAGCAGCAAAUGUCAGAAACUCUGUGGAUCUUUGUCUAACAUUUUGUUCUUGUAGCCAUAUUGUUGCUCUUAGUAUUGCAGUUCAGAAGACACCAGCUGGUUCUCUUGUACAAUUUUGUUGUAUAAGUUGCAGAGAUAUAGUUGAUUGAAGUUCGUUAGGGGAAGAGGGAUAAAAUAUACUGAAAAGUUUUUAGAUUUAGUAUACUACAACCAGCAUUAUCUAAUGCUCGUGUAUUUUAAUUUAUUGUAAUUCAAGAUGUAGUCUGCAUAGAGAUGCAUGGUUCAUCCCUGCAAGGUUUUGGCGGAACUGCAGUAUCUAAGUGAUAUUUAGCUAGUGAAGAAAGCAAGCAAGAUGUUAUUGUCAAGAGACUAACUGAUGCUAGAGAACUAAGAUGGUUGGAAACUGAUCUAAAGGGGUAAGUAGCAUGCAUACCUUGGCUUCAAGAAUAGCUGUAUUGAUCAGCAACCACUGGACAGAAUUUCCUUCUGUUGCCUCAGGUUGUGCUUCUUUCUC